GAAGAAAACACAAACAAACUACUUCCAUCAAAUACGCACUUUUCUCUGAGACACUUUGGACUCUUUGGAUCUGCUCAGAGUGGACUUUUUGCAGUGGCUUCAUGCGUCGGCUCCUCCUGAGGGUCUGAGAUCACAUGAACCUGGACUGAGCAUGGAUCAGAGAGAGACCAGAGAGGACGGAGCCCCUCCCUCUAUAAAAGCUCACAGACCUGCUCCUGGGGCCAGCGCCGUCUCAUUCAAGAGUGAUGACUCUAAAGGACUAGGGGUUAAUUUUAAAAGAGAACAUGGUCCAGAGUAAGUCAG